CAUAGGUUAAUGAGGCGAACCGGGGGAACUGAAACAUCUAAGUACCCCGAGGAAAAGAAAUCAACCGAGAUUCCCCCAGUAGCGGCGAGCGAACGGGGAGGAGCCCAGAGCCUGAAUCAGUGUGUGUGUUAGUGGAAGCGUCUGGAAAGGCGCGCGAUACAGGGUGACAGCCCCGUACACAAAAAUGCACAUAUUGUGAGCUCGAUGAGUAGGGCGGGACACGUGGUAUCCUGUCUGAAUAUGGGGGGACCAUCCUCCAAGGCUAAAUACUCCUGACUGACCGAUAGUGAACCAGUACCGUGAGGGAAAGGCGAAAAGAACCCCGGCGAGGGGAGUGAAAAAGAACCUGAAACCGUGUACG
rnacentral:rRNA from 2 species